AGAGUGAACGCUGGCGGUAGGCCUAACACAUGCAAGUCGAACGGCAGCACAGUCCCGCAAGGGAUGGGUGGCGAGUGGCGGACGGGUGAGGAAUACAUCGGAAUCUACCUUUUCGUGGGGGAUAACGUAGGGAAACUUACGCUAAUACCGCAUAAGACCUUCGGGUGAAAGCCGGGGACCUUCGGGCCUGGCGCGGAUAGAUGAGCCGAUGUCGGAUUAGCUUGUUGGCGGGGU
rnacentral:rRNA from 1 species